ACGGGUGAGUAACGCGUGAACAAUCUGCCCUGUACAGAGGAAUAGCCUCGGGAAACCGGGAUUAAAACCGCAUAACACUUUAGAAUCGCAUGAUUUUAAAGUCAAAUUGAUUAGAGGUAUAGGAUGAGUUCGCGUCUGAUUAGCUAGUUGGCGGGGUAACGGCCCACCAAGGCGACGAUCAGUAGCCGGCCUGAGAGGGUGAACGGCCACACUGGAACCGAGACACGGUCCAGACUCCUACGGGAGGCAGCAGUGGGGAAUAUUGCACAAUGGAGGAAACUCUGAUGCAGCGACGCCGCGUGAGUGAAGAAGGUCUUCGGAUCGUAAAACUCUGUCCUUGGUGAAGAAAGAAAUGACGGUAGCCAAGGAGGAAGCCCCGGCUAACUACGUGCCAGCAGCCGCGGUAAUACGUAGGGGGCGAGCGUUGUCCGGAUUUACUGGGCGUAAAGGGUGAGUAGGCGGUGAUAUGUGUCAGAUGUAAAAGGCUAUGGCUUAACUAUAGUUAGCAUUUGAAACUGUAUUACUUGAGUGCAGGAGAGGUAAGUGGAAUUCCUAGUGUAGCGGUGAAAUGCGUAGAUAUUAGGAGGAACACCAGUGGCGAAGGCGACUUACUGGACUGUAACUGACGCUGAGUCACGAAAGCGUGGGUAGCAAACAGGAUUAGAUACCCUGGUAGUCCACGCUGUAAACGAUGAGUGCUAGGUGUUGGCCAGCGAUGGUCAGUGCCGAAGUAAACACAAUAAGCACUCCGCCUGGGGAGUACGGUCGCAAGACUGAAACUCAAAGGAAUUGACGG
rnacentral:rRNA from 1 species